rnacentral:rRNA from 1 species
UACGUAGGGUGCAAGCGUUAAUCGGAAUUACUGGGCGUAAAGCGUGCGCAGGCGGUCUUGCAAGACAGAUGUGAAAUCCCCGGGCUCAACCCUGGGAACUGCAUUUGUGACUGCAAGGCUGGAGUGCGGCAGAGGGGGAUGGAAUUCCGCGUGUAGCAGUGAAAUGCGUAGAUAUGCGGAGGAACACCGAUGGCGGAAGGCAAUCCCCUGGGCCUGCACUGACGCUCAUGCACGAAGCGUGGGAGCAAACAGG